rnacentral:rRNA from 1 species
CACCGCGGUUAUACGAAAGGCCCUAGUUGACAGUCCCCGGCGUAAAGGGUGGUUAAGGAAUACAAUAACUAAAGUCGAACCCCCUCACUGCUGUUAUAAGCAUACGAGGAUGAGAAGCUCAAUCACGAAAGUGGCUUUAUUAACCCUGACCCCACGAAAACUAGGGAA